UACGUAGGGGGCAAGCGUUGUCCGGAUUUAUUGGGCGUAAAGCGCACGUAGGCGGCUUUUUAAGUCAGGGGUGAAAUCCUGGAGCUCAACUCCAGAACUGCCUUUGAUACUGAGAAGCUUGAGUCCGGGAGAGGUGAGUGGAACUGCGAGUGUAGAGGUGAAAUUCGUAGAUAUUCGCAAGAACACCAGUGGCGAAGGCGGCUCACUGGCCCGGUACUGACGCUGAGGUGCGAAAGCGUGGGGAGCAAACAGG
rnacentral:rRNA from 1 species